AUGCGGAAUAUUUGGAAGAACCGUGGACACAGUGGGCCAACUGUGAAGUUGGAUGCAGACCUUCCACUGCUUGGAGGGUCCACGCCCCAACCCCUGUGUGGCUCAGGGUCGACUGCAAAUGCUCUUCCCAAAGGUCGUCUGGCAGCAGGAGGGUCCGCCUCUUCCACUCUUGGUGACGUUUCACAUUCUGGGAACCUCCUCCCGUCACCCCACAAUGGCGUUUUGUGUCUUGAUCCCCGUGGAAGAGCCCGGCGCACACACAGCUUAGCCUCUUCAUUCCUGGAGCCGUUCUACGUAUGCGAGACUGAAGCCAGGACAGAGGUCUUCAUCCUGGGUGUGCUUAUUCUUCACACCCUUCCCGGUACGUUCAGACGCCAAGGCCAUUAGCGCGAGAAGGAUCGAGGCACGUUUCCUAUCAGGAAGUCUGCUCUCGCUCCCAUGGCCGCCUCUUUGUUGCAAUCCAGUCAUCCAGUGGUGAUUUUCACAGAAUGGUGUUUAUUCCGUCCACCUGGAGCUCGUCCCUGUGGGCCAGAGAUGGCAUCCUCUCCCCGGGUGGUCGUGUUGGCUCUGGGCAGGGGCAGGGCCACUGCCAAGCUUGGCACAGUCCUUCACGCUGACUCCCAGACUCGCCAGCCAGCUGCUUUGGACAGGGCUCCCGUAGAAAGGAAACUCUAGAAGUCUACAUAUUCACUGGCCAGCUCGUUGGAAUGUGCUGUGUGCUCUCCCUGCUGCCAGUCUUCCCAGAGGCGUUGAGGAAAGGGUGCUAGAGAAACACGCCUUCAUUUGCCACAAAGAUGAAGCUAUGCAAAUGAAUGUUGUGGCCAGUGGUGUCCGUAGGGCCAGAGGUAAUGUGGACAUGAGACGUGGGGACUGAGGGGUUGAGUAAGUUAGCGACAAGCAGGUAGAUUCCGGCCAGAAGGCCAGAGGGGGCUUUAUGAAAUGGACAGGCCAGUGCCAAAGGCAGGGCCAUGUCCUGGGCAUCCGUGCUCAAACACAGGAGUCCAAGCGCGGCCCUGAAGGGCAGGGGCCGUGAAAAAACAGCAGAUGCUUGUUGGAUGAUCUGACGUCAGGCUGUUUUUCAAAGAACUGGUGGCUGACCCCUGCUUCUGUUGCCCAGAGUAGCAAAAUAGAAAAUUUGAAUCUAAAACCCGGACCCAGAUUUAGCAUGUCUUCCCUUUCCAAUUUAUUUAUAGCAUUUGAGGAG
rnacentral:lncRNA from 9 species